rnacentral:sRNA from 14 species
UUUAACCUGAUAAACAACUUCAGCAAAGUUGAGGAAGACAACCUUCCUUGAAUAGAGGCGAACUGGUCUUCUGUCAAGGGUAUUCGAGUAGCUGCGCUGGCCUGCUAGAACCUGCAAACAAGCUCUCAAGGUCCACCACCUCUUCUAUAAAAGUCUUGGAAACAUCAGGAAUUUAGGGC